AAGACUUUCAUGCCUUUUAUACUAAAAUUGUAACAAUACAGAGAAGAUUAGCAUGGCCCCUUUUCAAGGAUGACACACAAAUUUUGAAGUGUUCCUUAUUUUU